UACGUAGGUGGCAAGCGUUGUCCGGAUUUACUGGGCGUAAAGAGCGCGCAGGCGGUCUUGCAAGUCGCGUGUGAAAGCCCCCGGCUCAACUGGGGAGGGUCACGCGAUACUGCUCGACUUGAAGGCAGGAGAGGGAAGUGGAAUUCCCGGUGUAGUGGUGAAAUGCGUAGAUAUCGGGAGGAACACCAGUGGCGAAGGCGACUUCCUGGCCUGUUCUUGACGCUGAGGCGCGCAAGCUAGGGUAGCAAACGGG
rnacentral:rRNA from 1 species